UUCAUGUGAUGAAACUUGCACAUGUCUUACACCCUGUGUCAACACCAGAACCUGAAAAGGUGAACCCACUGGUGUUGCCAGGGUAAUAAGGGGAUGGCCCGUUGGGUUACCAACAGUCUGAGC